AGGUCACACUACCUGUGAACCCCUCUGACGGUCCAAAACCGCAGGGCUUAUUUCUCAUUAAUUGAGAGCAUGGCCCCAUACCUUAACACCUGUGGUCCUUCUCCCUUUAGUUGGAAUCUGUUUCAUUGACCUCCUAACAAAAGGCCAAGCCUAGCCCAUAAUUUCCGGGAGCUAAAGCCAGCCUUCUCCAUCUCUGCUAAGAUGAUGCAUGGGAAGUCUUAUCCUUUAGAGAGACAAAAUUCAUAUGUAUCAGUAGUCAUGGUUUUUUAUGUUUUUAAAGUUUAAGUUCCACCU
rnacentral:lncRNA from 1 species